AUACUUACCUGGCAGGGGAAGUAUCAGGAUCAAGGAUGAAGGUGGUCUUCCCAUGCUGAGUCUUUUCCAUCACAUUUGGGAAGUGUUGACACCUGCAAUUUCUCCAAAUGUAGGGGAACUUAACUGUAGAAGUUAUGGUGGGAGGACUGU
rnacentral:snRNA from 1 species